rnacentral:piRNA from 1 species
UAUGAGUAGACGGCACAGAAGUCAGC